UUCCGCCCCUUAGUGCUGCAGUAACGCAUUAAGCACUCCGCCUGGGGAGUACGGUCGCAAGACUGAAACUCAAAGGAAUUGACGGGGGCCCGCACAAGCGUUGGAGCAUGUGGUUUAAUUCGAAGCAACGGAAGAACCUUACCAGGUCUUGACAUCCUCUGACAAUCCUAGAGAUAGGACGUCCCCUUCGGGGGCAGAGUGACAGGUGGUGCAUGGUUGUCGUCAGCUCGUGUCGUGAGAUGUUGGGUUAAGUCCCGCAACGAGCGCAACCCUUGAUCUUAGUUGCCAGCAUUCAGUUGGGCACUCUAAGGUGACUGCCGGUGACAAACCGGAGGAAGGUGGGGAUGACGUCAAAUCAUCAUGCCCCUUAUGACCUGGGCUACACACGUGCUACAAUGGACAGAACAAAGGGCAGCGAAACCGCGAGGUUAAGCCAAUCCCACAAAUCUGUUCUCAGUUCGGAUCGCAGUCUGCAACUCGACUGCGUGAAGCUGGAAUCGCUAGUAAUCGCGGAUCAGCAUGCCGCGGUGAAUACGUUCCCGGGCCUUGUACACACCGCCCGUCACACCACGAGAGUUUGUAACACCCGAAGUCGGUGAGGUAACCUUUUAGGAGCCAGCCGCCGAAGGUGGGACAGAUGAUUGGGGUGAAGUC
rnacentral:rRNA from 1 species